rnacentral:lncRNA from 1 species
AUCGCCGUCGUGCUGGGGCCGCUCUCCACCGCUGCGCGGUGACUGCAACCGCCCGGGCCGGCCCUCGAGGCCUCCUGCAUUCCGCCCCAACCCCCGGCCCCGCCGCGGCUAUCCAGUCAGUUCACUGCUAUUCCCAUGGGUCACGAGACAGAUGAGGAGUUUGAUGCUCUCUGAGUAACAUACUUCAACAAGCCAGAUAUAGAUGCCUGGCAAUUGCGUAAAGGGAUGAACACACUUGUUAGCUAUGAUCCGGUUCCAGAGCCCAAAAUUGUUGAUGCUGCUUUGCGGGCAUGCAGACGGUUAAACGAUUUUGCUAGUGCAGUUGGCAUCCUAGAGGCUGUUAAGGACAAAGCAGGACCUCAUAAGGAAAUCUACCCCUAUGUCAUACAGGAACUCAGACCAACUUUAAAUGAACUGGGAAUCUCCACUCCGGAGGAUCUGGGCCUUGACAAGGUGUAA